rnacentral:tRNA from 1 species
GCGCCGGAGCCCACCUGGUUGGUGGGACCUGCCUUAUACGCAGGCUGCGGUCGGGUUCGAUCCCCACCCGGCGCA